rnacentral:rRNA from 1 species
AGUGAACGCUGGCGGUAGGCCUAACACAUGCAAGUCGAACGGCAGCACAGUAAGAGCUUGCUCUUACGGGUGGCGAGUGGCGGACGGGUGAGGAAUACAUCGGAAUCUACUUUUUCGUGGGGGAUAACGUAGGGAAACUUACGCUAAUACCGCAUACGACCUACGGGUGAAAGCAGGGGAUCUUCGGACCUUGCGCGAUUGAAUGAGCCGAUGUCGGAUUAGCUAGUUGGCGGGGUAAAGGCCCACCAAGGCGACGAUCCGUAGCUGGUCUGAGAGGAUGAUCAGCCACACUGGAACUGAGACACGGUCCAGACUCCUACGGGAGGCAGCAGUGGGGAAUAUUGGCCAGUGGGCGCAAGCCUGAUCCAGCCAUACCGCGUGGGUGAAGAAGGCCUUCGGGUUGUAAAGCCCUUUUGUUGGGAAAGAAAAGCAGCAGGUUAAUACCCCGCUGUUCUGACGGUACCCAAAGAAUAAGCACCGGCUAACUUCGUG